CCCGAGUCGCUUUAUAACUAGCCUGAAGAAGCAUGGUUUGAAACAUAAGAGCGUUCUCGUGAGAGCUGGUGCCGCACUGGGGCUUCUUAUGAUCAAUGAAUUCAUGGGAGCGGAGAAAGUUCUGUCUGCAGGACAGACUUUCACCAAAUACUUCCUGUUGGCUGUCAGUUUAGUGUGUCAGGAUGCUUCCUCUGAAGUCAGAGCUCAUGGAAAGGCCAUCUUAAAAGACCUGGUCAAACAGAAGAACUUCAAAAAGAUGUGGGUAGAAAGCGUCUCGCAUAAAUCCCGCUGUGAGGUGGAAGGAAGACUCAGAGACGUAUUUCAGAAAUAGACACAGGUAAGCCACACAGCAUACACGAGCAGCCUUCAAAUUAAGUAACCA